rnacentral:ncRNA from 2 species
UGUUUGUUAGGCUCCACUCGCCUCCCGUGGGGGAAGUCCGGUGGGAGUCCGGCGCUGACCCGCAACGGUGUGCACGGCGACCGAUCCGAAGGUCUCUGUGCGAGCCCGAUCACCCGCGGAGGCGUAGCGACCCGC